GCCGGCCGGGGGACGGACUGGGAACGG
rnacentral:snRNA from 1 species